rnacentral:lncRNA from 1 species
AAAAAAAAAAACGAUUUAUUUAGAUGAAAAUGGAUCAUGUGAAUAUAUUAAUUAGAAAACAAGCGGGUGGGAAGACAAAAAUCGGACGGUGAUGGAGAUGGAAAAGUGAAGCAUCAAAGAGUGGGAAGGGAGUGAAGGAGGAAUUGCCACGUACAUGGCAAGUUCCAUGAGAAAUAAUAUAUAGGUAUUGUUGGUAGCCGAAUUUUUUGACCCUUGACCCGGUCAAAGAUCCUCCUCAGGGAGCGCGUCGGGGUGAGGAACGGCUGCGGAUAGUGACCCUCGAAGUGUGCGCCCUUCGACUGGAUCAAACGAUUCGGCUGAUGAGGGUCGAAUCAGCCGAAUAUGAAAAUCUUCACUAUAAAACUGGUUCGGCUGGAGGAGCCGAAUGUACGAACUGUGCAGGGAUCAAUGUCCGCAGAAGAGCCGAAUGGAAGAAGUACAUUGUAACUGGUCGGCUGAAAGAGCCGAAUGCCUAAAUAUAUAUAUUAAUAAAACAGUGUGUGCCCGAAGGGCAUACAGACUCUACAAAUAUAUAGUUUAAUUACAACGGAGU